rnacentral:rRNA from 1 species
CACGCUUGACAUGUCUCGUAUGGUUUCCAGAGAUGGAUUCCUUCAGUUCGGCUGGCGAGAACACAGGUGCUGCAUGGCUGUCGUCAGCUCGUGUCGUGAGAUGUUGGGUUAAGUCCCGCAACGAGCGCAACCCUCGCUACUAGUUGCUACCAGGUUAAGCUGAGCACUCUAGUGGAACUGCCGGUGGCAAGGCCGGAGGAAGGUGGGAUGACGUCAAGU